rnacentral:rRNA from 1 species
GUUAAGCGACUAAGCGUACACGGUGGAUGCCCUGGCAGUCAGAGGCGAUGAAGGACGUGCUAAUCUGCGAAAAGCGUCGGUAAGGUGAUAUGAACCGUUAUAACCGGCGAUGUCCGAAUGGGGAAACCCAGUGCAAUUCGUUGCACUAUCGUUAACUGAAUACAUAGGUUAACGAGGCGAACCGGGGGAACUGAAACAUCUAAGUACCCCGAGGAAAAGAAAUCAACCGAGAUUCCCCCAGUAGCGGCGAGCGAACGGGGAG